AUACGGAAGGUCCGGGCGUUAUCCGGAUUUAUUGGGUUUAAAGGGAGCGCAGGCGGCGAUGCAAGCGUGACGUCAAAUUUCGGGGCUCAACCCCGUCUCGCGUCGCGAACUGCGUCCCUUGGUUGCGGGAAGGGGAGGCGGAACUUGCGGUGUUGGGGUGGAAUGCAUAGAUAUCACGAAGAACUCCGAUCGCGAAGGCAGCCUUCCGGCCCGUCAACGACGCUCAUGCUCGAAGGUGCGGGUAUCAAACAGGAUUAGAUACCCUGGUAGUCCACGCAGUAAACGAUGAUGGCUAACCGCUGGGCUUAUCAGUUCAGUGGCCAAGCGAAAGCGGUAAGCCAUCCACCUGGGGAGUACGACCGCAAGGUUGAAACUCAAAUGAAUUGGCGGGG
rnacentral:rRNA from 1 species